rnacentral:rRNA from 1 species
GGCUUAGAAGCAGCCAUCCUUUAAAGAAAGCGUAAUAGCUCACUAGUCGAGUCGGUCUGCGCGGAAGAUGUAACGGGGCUAAACUAGUCACCGAAGCUGCGGAUUCAAUCUUAGGAUUGAGUGGUAGGGGAGCGUUCUGUAAGCCGUUGAAGGUGUGUUGUAAAGCAUGCUGGAGGUAUCAGAAGUGCGAAUGCUGACAUGAGUAACGAUAAGGGGAGUGAAAAACUCCCCCGCCGAAAGACCAAGGUUUCCUGUCCCAUGUUAAUCAGGGCAGGGUAAGUCGGCCCCUAAGGCGAGGCGGAAACGCGUAGUCGAUGGGAAACAGAUUAAUAUUUCUGUACUUCUAUAUAUUGCGAAGGAGGGACGGAGUAGGCUAGGUGAGCACGGCGUUGGUAGUCCGUGUGAAAGUAUGUAGGCGGUUGUCUUAGGUAAAUCCGGGACUUCAUUAACGCUGAGAUACGAGACGAGAUUCUACGGAAUUGAAGUCAUUGAUGCCAUGCUUCCAGGAAAAGCUUCUAAGCUUCAGAUAUAUAGGAACCGUACCCCAAACCGACACAGGUGGUUAGGUAGAGAAUACUAAGGCGCUUGAGAGAACUCGGGUGAAGGAACUAGGCAAAAUAGUACCGUAACUUCGGGAGAAGGUACGCUCUCUAAUGUGAAUGACUUGCUCAGUAAGCAUCGGAGAGUCGAAGUAACCAGGUGGCUGGAACUGUUUAUUAAAAACACAGCACUGUGCAAAAUCGAAAGAUGACGUAUACGGUGUGACGCCUGCCCGGUGCCGGAAGGUUAAUUGAUUGGGUUAGCUCUGCGAAGCUCAUGAUCGAAGCCCCGGUAAACGGCGGCCGUAACUAUAACGGUCCUAAGGUAGCGAAAUUCCUUGUCGGGUAAGUUCCGACCUGCACGAAUGGCGUAAUCAUGGCCACACUGUCUCCACCCGAGACUCAGUGAAAUUGAAAUUGCGGUUAAGAUGCCGUAUACCCGCGGCUAGACGGAAAGACCCCGUGAACCUUUACUAUAGCUUGACAGUGAACAUUGCUCCUACAUGUGUAGGAUAGGUGGGAGGCUUUGAAACCGCGUCGCUAGAUGCGGUGGAGCCAACCUUGAAAUACCACCCUUGUAUGCGUGAUGUUCUAACCUAGGGCCCUAAUCGGGCUUGGGGACACUGUCUGGUGGGUAGUUUGACUGGGGCGGUCUCCUCCUAAAGAGUAACGGAGGAGCACGAAGGUUGGCUAAGUACGGUCGGACAUCGUACGGU